rnacentral:rRNA from 1 species
UGUAUAAGAACAGCAGUAGCCACGGUAAUACGUAGGGUGCAAGCGUUAAUCGGAAUUACUGGGCGUAAAGCGUGCGCAGGCGGUUAUAUAAGACAGAUGUGAAAUCCCCGGGCUCAACCUGGGAACUGCAUUUGUGACUGUAUAGCUAGAGUACGGCAGAGGGGGAUGGAAUUCCGCGUGUAGCAGUGAAAUGCGUAGAUAUGCGGAGGAACACCGAUGGCGAAGGCAAUCCCCUGGGCCUGUACUGACGCUCAUGCACGAAAGCGUGGGGAGCAAACAGGAUUAGAUACCCCCGUAGUCCCUGUCUCUUAUAC